UCCGCGGUGGCGCAAUGGUAGCGCGAGGGACUGUUAAUCCCCAGGUUGCAGGUUCGAAUCCUGCCCGCGGAG
rnacentral:tRNA from 1 species